rnacentral:rRNA from 1 species
GGCUCAGAUUGAACGCUGGCGGCAUGCCUUACACAUGCAAGUCGAACGGCAGCACGGGGCAACCUGGUGGCGAGUGGCGAACGGGUGAGUAAUGCAUCGGAACGUGCCAUUGAGUGGGGGAUAACGUAGCGAAAGUUGCGCUAAUACCGCAUAUUCUGUGAGCAGGAAAGCAGGGGACCGCAAGGCCUUGCGCUCUUUGAGCGGCCGAUGUCAGAUUAGCUAGUUGGUGAGGUAACGGCUUACCAAGGCGACGAUCUGUAGCGGGUCUGAGAGGAUGAUCCGCCACACUGGAACUGAGACACGGUCCAGACUCCUACGGGAGGCUGCAGUGGGGAAUUUUGGACAAUGGGCGCAAGCCUGAUCCAGCCAUGCCGCGUGAGUGAAGAAGGCCUUCGGGUUGUAAAGCUCUUUCGGCCGGGAAGAAAUCGCAUGGGUUAAUACCCUGUGUGGAUGACGGUACCGGAAUAAGAAGCACCGGCUAACUACGUG